UCGAGAAUCUUCGGCAAUGGGCGCAAGCCUGACCGAGCGACGCCGCGUGGAGGACGAAGGCCUUCGGGUUGUAAACUCCUGUCGAGGGGGAAGAAGCCGCAAGGUUGACUGAUCCCUGGAGGAAGCACGGGCUAAGUUCGUGCCAGCAGCCGCGGUAAGACGAACCGUGCGAACGUUAUUCGGAAUCACUGGGCUUAAAGCGCGUGUAGGCGGGACGGCACGUCGGUGACUGAAAGCCCCCGGCUCAACCGGGGAAGUGGUGCCGAUACGACCGUUCUCGAGGGGCGUAGGGGGAACUGGAACUUCCGGUGGAGCGGUGAAAUGCGUUGAGAUCGGAAGGAACGCCCGUGGCGAAAGCGAGUUCCUGGACGCCUGCUGACGCUGAGACGCGAAAGCCAGGGGAGCGAACG
rnacentral:rRNA from 1 species